rnacentral:rRNA from 1 species
UACGGAGGGUGCGAGCGUUGUCCGGAAUUACUGGGCGUAAAGCGCACGUAGGCGGCUUUGUAAGUUAGAGGUGAAAGCCCGGGGCUCAACCCCGGAAUUGCCUUUAAGACUGCAUCGCUUGAAUCCAGGAGAGGUGAGUGGAAUUCCGAGUGUAGAGGUGAAAUUCGUAGAUAUUCGGAAGAACACCAGUGGCGAAGGCGGCUCACUGGCCUGGUAUUGACGCUGAGGUGCGAAAGCGUGGGGAGCAAACAGG